CGGGACGGGUGAGUAAUGUCUGGGAAACUGCCUGAUGGAGGGGGAUAACUACUGGAAACGGUAGCUAAUACCGCAUAACGUCGCAAGACCAAAGAGGGGGACUUCGGGCCUCUUGCCAUCGGAUGUGCCCAGAUGGGAUUAGCUAGUAGGUGGGGUAACGGCUCACCUAGGCGACGAUCCCUAGCUGGUCUGAGAGGAUGACCAGCCACACUGGAACUGAGACACGGUCCAG
rnacentral:rRNA from 1 species